rnacentral:rRNA from 1 species
GAUGAACGCUGGCGGCGUGCUUAACACAUGCAAGUCGAACGGAAAGGCUCCUGCUUGCAGGGGUACUCGAGUGGCGAACGGGUGAGUAACACGUGGGUGAUCUGCCCCGCACUUCGGGAUAAGCCUGGGAAACUGGGUCUAAUACCGGAUAGGACCACUUCUUGGAGGUUGUGGUGGAAAGUUUUUUCGGUGUGGGAUGAGCUCGCGGCCUAUCAGCUUGUUGGUGGGGUAAUGGCCUACCAAGGCGUCGACGGGUAGCCGGCCUGAGAGGGUGUACGGCCACAUUGGGACUGAGAUACGGCCCAGACUCCUACGGGAGGCAGCAGUGGGGAAUAUUGCACAAUGGGCGCAAGCCUGAUGCAGCGACGCCGCGUGGGGAUGACGGCCUGG